GACGAACGCUGGCGGCGUGCUUAACACAUGCAAGUCGAACGGUAAGGCCCUUCGGGGUACACGAGUGGCGAACGGGUGAGUAACACGUGGGUGAUCUGCCCUGCACUUCGGGAUAAGCCUGGGAAACUGGGUCUAAUACCGGAUAGGACCACUGCCUGCAUGGGUGGCGGUGGAAAGCUUUUGCGGUGUGGGAUGGGCCCGCGGCCUAUCAGCUUGUUGGUGGGGGGAUGGCCUACCAAGGCGACGACGGGUAGCCGGCCUGAGAGGGUGACCGGCCACACUGGGACUGAGAUACGGCCCAGACUCCUACGGGAGGCAGCAGUGGGGAAUAUUGCACAAUGGGCGCAAGCCUGAUGCAGCGACGCCGCGUGAGGGAUGACGGCCUUCGGGUUGUAAACCUCUUUCAGCACCGACGAAGCGCAAGUGACGGUAGGUGCAGAAGAAGGACCGGCCAACUACGUGCCAGCAGCCGCCGUAA
rnacentral:rRNA from 1 species